GACGAACGCUGGCGACGUGCUUAACACAUGCAAGUCGAACGAUGAUGCUGGAGCUUGCUCCAGUUGAUUAGUGGCGAACGGGUGAGUAACACGUGAGCAAUCUGCCCUUGACUCCGGGAUAACUGCGGGAAACUGUAGCUAAUACCGGAUACUUUCACCGGAAAGCAUCUUCUGGUGAUGAAAGAAUUUCGGUCAGGGAUGAGCUCGCGGCCUAUCAGCUUGUUGGUGAGGUAACGGCUCACCAAGGCGACGACGGGUAACCGGCCUGAGAGGGUGACCGGUCACACUGGGACUGAGACACGGCCCAGACUCCUACGGGGGGCAGCAGUGGGGAAUAUUGCACAAUGGGCGCAAGCCUGAUGCAGCAACGCCGCGUGAGGGAUGAAGGCCUUCGGGUUGUAAACCUCUUUUAGCAGGGAAGAAGCGAAAGUGACGGUACCUGCAGAAAAAGCACCGGCUAACUACGUGCCAGCCGCCGCGGUAA
rnacentral:rRNA from 1 species